AGUUUGAUCCACAUGUAAGACGAGAAAUGGACAGGGGAGUAUAGGAUGGGGAGGAAAAUAAAGGGAAUUAAUAGAAGAUUGGUUGGCUGAGAGUGAAGAGGGAGUCUUCAAAAUAGUGACUAGAGUCAACCAACCAACUAACCAACCAAACAAACAAAAAACUCUUGAGAAAAUAGCAAGUUACUGUCAUUAUUAGAGUAGACGCUCUCUCUCUCCCUCUAUCUCUUUCAAACACACACACACACACACACACAGAGAGAGAGAGAGAGAGAGAGAGACUAGAGUGAGAGAGAGAGAGAGAGAGAGAGAGAGAUCUAUAUACCCCCAGUCAGUCUCUCAAAACUGUUCUCAAGGAAACAGGUAGGUGACAUUUCUAAUUAUCCCUUCCAUGUCCUUUCGAAGCAUCAUCUUCCAUUCAUACCUUUUGUAGCUAAUGACUCUAAUCAAUGGGGGCUGGAAUCUCUGAUAAGCCAACCCUAUGAAAAGGAUUCACUAGAGAGAAUUUAGUUGUGCUUCCCUAUAGGCUCAAAUGUGAUCCCCAAUUAUGGAUUGCUACUUCUCAAUAACCUUCAGGAGCUUCACACUAUAGUUAGUUUUAGGGCUUUCAGAUUUAAGUCACAAGAGGUACACACGUUCUUUUCAGUGUUAUCCAGGUGAUAAUGCAAAGGAAGAGGGGCAAGCAAUUAAGUAGGAAUUUAGAGAGUCAGAGGGAGAGUUUCACCACCAGUGCCUCUCUUCAGAAUCCUACAUUCCUAGUCAUAGAGCAUCCUUUUGUUUUUCUUAAUUUCCAUACAAAUAUCAGUAAGCCUAUUUACCUUGCUCUGCCCUUGGCUUACAGGCUUUAGGAAUCUCAGGUCAACUGGAGGUUAUUUCUUGAAUGAACCUUCAGAUUUCACUCUGGGGACCAACUCCCUUCCUGUUGACACAGCUAAGUACACUGAACAACAAAAUUGAAAUGUGCUCUAGACUCCAUGGAACCAGCGAGGUUAAAUCUUUGCCAAGGUUCUAGUGCCUCUUGGUGUACUUCUGGAGAUUGGAGCCCCAAGCAAAGUUUUCUUGGAGGACAGAAUCAAAGAAGAUAAAGGAACUAAAGUCAAAACAGCCUGGAAAUGAGAAUGAGAGAUUUCCCAGCAGGCACUGUCUGUAAGAGCCUUGAUAUCAUUGCAUUAAAGCUUCUUUUCCCUGUAGACAAUCUCUCCACCAUCAUUUAUUGAGGGUCAAUGCUUGUCUUCUAUGUCUUCAGGAGCUUAGCAGAGUCUCUGCUCCAAUGUAUAUUCUUGGUCUCUCUGUCUCUCUGUCUCUGUCUCUCUGUCUCUCUGUCUCUCUGUCUCUCUGUCUCUCUCUCUCUCUCUCUCUCUCUCUCUCUCUCUCUCUCUGUGUAUUAAUCAAUUGUUAGGUUGUUCCAACUGUACUUUAAUUCCAAUGGUUGCUAAAUAAUAAUGUUUCUUUUAUUUUUCAUAUGUGACUAACAUACCAGUUUUUCUUUCUUUUUAAGCUAAAAGUGCCAUGGAAUUCCACCAACAAAAGGGGCUUAAGAAUUUGAAAACACCAUUUUUCAGAUAUAGCUUAACAGCAUAUUAAUAUCAUAUGUAUAAGCUGCUUAACCUCUCUGUGCCUCACUUUCAUAUAAAUUAGAAUUAUAAAUACUCACUCUUAGGAUGAAGAAAAAAGGGAAUGGGGAUGCCCCACUUCUUCUUUUUCACUCCCCCUAACACCCAAUAUGCAUGAAUGUGACCUCUCAGAGUUACUUAUGAACUCUGCUAUGUAUGGAGCUAAGGCCGUGGCUAUGACCUCUCGGAACAGCAGGUAAAGUCAGGGCUCAUGUGCUCCCAAUGAGUCCACAUGGUAUGCAGCUGCUUUGUCUGUCUCUGGCAGUCAGUAUCCAUCACAGGGUUACAGUUACUCAGCGCUUCAGACAGGUAUCUUGUGGCUUACAUGAAGAAGUGGCUCGUUCGCUAAGAAUGUAUUAAUUGUUCUCUCUGUGGUCAGAACUGGGAGCGUGGCAGUUCAUUGAAAGGGGUACAAUCUUUGUUCAAGUAGAACAUGAGAAGAGAGAGAAAGAGAGAGAGGGAGAGAGAGAGAGGGAGAGAGAGGGGUGAGAGAAAGAGAGAGUAAGAGAUUAAUUACUUCUUGACAGAAUCAAGAAGGAUAGGAAGAGCUUGCCUUAGAAUGUGAAUGUAAUUAGGAAGAUAAAGGAUGAAAGAAUAACUGGGAAGGGGGCAACAUUACUAGAAUAUCUUUUACAGACAGGAGGGUGAAGCAUCAUGGUAUACUCUGAUGAGCCUGUGGCAUGAACGAAGCUGAGAUAGCAGGGGCAGAGAAUGCAGUGACUAAGAAAGGACUUGUCCAUCCUUGGAGCUUAAAUGUUAUUUUCGGUGCAGCAUAACACUGAGAAUUGAUGGCAUCACCUGAAGACGGAUCUGGACUCUUAGAAAUAGCUCCCACCCACUUUCUUGAGACCAUCCUACACCCAUGACAAGAUCUAUGUCAUGGUGAAUUACAGCUUUUUCUUUGUGUCAACCAAACUAGGUUAUCCAUGAAUUUUCAGUGUCCUUGUCCCAAUUUCCUGAAUCACAAAAGAGCACAGGAAGAAUGCCCCUCCCCAUGCCAACCGAAUCCCCCUGUCUAUGGAUCAGCACAGCAUGUCUUAAAGCCUGAGUGAGCUUAAAGAGUAAUUGCUAUUGUUUAACUUUACCAAGGCUAAUCUAUCACACCUCACCCAGAGAACCCCUGAUCCACUCUUUGAGCAUUCUCUGUCCUGAGGUAAAACAUAACAAGCAAAUAAAUAAGAAGGGAACUGUGUGGAAACCCUCUUUGUCACUACUGAAGCAUGUUCAUUUAUUUAGCAAAAUGUCCAUAAUUUUUAAAUUGCUUGAAUCAGCCACUGGCUAUUUGGUAUCUUCAAGGGGUCCCCAUCAGGAAUAAUACUUCCCCAUUACCUGCAAAAAAAAAUAUUGAGGCAGGCUUUUGAUCACAGGAAUUAAUUACAUGCACAGAAUUUCAUUGCUGGGAGCAGCAAGCAGCUGGUUCCUGCAGGGCCCUGGUUGAACUCUCUUGCCAACUCCCCUUCUAUGCUUGAUCCUCCCUGCACACCUACACCCUUGCUUUCUUUCAUUAUGCUCCACAGGUUCUAUUCAAUGGGGGAAAAUUGUAAUUAAAACAUUUACAAAGCUUUCCUUAUGACCGCCCUUAAGGCUGCGAACCUUCACAAUUCAAUCUUUUUUUUUUUUUCCAAAUAAGGCACAAUGACAGAGUUUCCAGGAAUUUCUUCCUCGGGGACUCAGGCCUCCUAGAAUGAUAUUAAUACAUUAAAAAAAAAAAAAAAACUUCACAAUGAAGCUCUGGGAUAAAAGGAGAGCACGUAUCUUCUUCAAGGGAGGGGAGAAUAUUGUAAUGAUGACUAAUUAUUCUCAGGAGCCAACAGCUUCCCUGGUUGUCAGUGGGAUCAGUUGACAAUGGCUUAGCUUGUCUAUCUUCCUUAUUUUCCUGUUAAUUAUUCCUACCUCUGCUACCAAGAGAAGGGGCUUGUUUUCCUCUUAGAUGUAAUUAGAGUAAUGAAAGGGUUUAUAAUAUUUAUAUAUUUUAUUUCUAGGACUCUAUUCAAUUUUACUUUCAUGCAGGACAGAAUAUAGAAUGCAAAACAGAAACCUCAAGUUCCUAGGUUUUGUGAAGUCUUACAGAGAAAAUUGGUUUCACCAUAAUAGCAAUUGGGAGGGAUAAUUCCUAGAUGAACAACCUGAAAUUACUCCCUUAAAGGCAAUACUUUAUAUAGGAUUUUGAGAAAGGUGGGGAAGAUGAGGUGACAAUUUUGGUGCAUUUUAUUUGUGUUGAUCUUUGUAUUUUGUGAUAAAGAAGGAAGGCAAACCAUUGGUGUAUUCUUCUAUAGACCUGCAUUUGCAUAUGGUUUGUCUCUGUUGAAUAGAUUUUGGUUUGGAUGACAAAUUAAAUCCCCAGCUUCCAAACACCCAAGUUCUUUUGUUCAGAAUUUAUAAGCCAGGAUGCCCAAAUACAGCUCUUCUUCAAAGGUAAAGGGGUUAAGCAAACAGUUGCUAGACAAUUAUUCUCCUUUUUAUACUAACAAAACCACCUUCUAGCAGCUCAGAACACAUAGCAAAUAGCAUUUAAAAGGUAUUAUGCCCCAUCAUCACAGGCAUUUCCAUGGCAAUGAAGUGAUGUGGCACACACAAACAAGGAUGUACCAGUUUUUUUUUCAACAUGCUG
rnacentral:lncRNA from 1 species